rnacentral:tRNA from 1 species
UACAGGGAGACCAAACCUGAAGUCAGAAGUCAGAAGUUAGAAGUCAGAAGUAAAAAGCUGGCGAAUAACUCAAACUAAACCAAUAGCUUCUUACUUAGGUCAUCCCCAAGGUCGUUCGAGGAAAAAGAGAUUUUCUCUCGGCUUUCAAACAGUUGUCAGCGGACAAAAAGAAUAAAAGAAAUGGGCUAUUAGCUCAGGUGGUUAGAGCGCACCCCUGAUAAGGGUGAGGUCCCUGGUUCGAGUCCAGGAUGGCCCACCUGAAACAAUUCGCAAUUAACAAUUGACAACUCGCAGUUAAUCGACCUGAUUGCGAAUUGGGAACUGAUAAUUGUCAAUUGGAAGUGUGGGGGUAUAGCUCAGUUGGUAGAGCGCUGCCUUUGCAAGGCAGAUGUCAGCGGUUCGAGUCCGCUUACCUCCACUCUAGAAAGCAAAUAACCCAAAAGUCGGAAAACCAAUUCAGCAACUGCCACCUCAAAGGAGACAGCAGCCUGCUGGAGAGAUUUCCAGCGAAGCACCUUGAAAACUGCAUGACAACACGUCAAACAAUAGCAGACAGUCAAAACAAGCAGACAAAACCGAGACAAAAAC